ACUGGGAGCGUGGCGUCUCCUGUAACGUGGCUGCUCACGGGUCGGGUUACGGACUGAUUUGAGGUUGGGGUCCACUGUGUGCCGGGUAAGUCCAUGUUGACGGGACGUCCGCACUAAGCUGACCGUCAAUAUGGGUGCAAUGGGGGAGCCCGAUGCAUUCAGGUUGGCUAAAGAGAGAUGAACCGAGCGAGGGGUGAAAACCAGCAGCUAAAAGUCUCCGCGGUAAGCAGUAGUGGGAUCGCGUCCCGGAGUGGACUUCCGGUGCCAGCCUGACCAAUAUAGUCACACUGUAAUCUUUU
rnacentral:SRP_RNA from 11 species